CGUACAGUAUGGUAGGUUGAGGUGAGGGUUGUGGGAGGGGUUUGGUGGGGACGUACAGUAUGGUAGGUUGAGGUGAGGGUUGUGGGAGGGGUUUGGUGGGGACGUACAGUAUGGUAGGUUGAGGUGAGGGUUGUGGGAGGGGUUUGGUGGGGACGUACAGUAUGGUAGGUUGAGGUGAGGGACUUGUCUACUGAGUGUAUAAUUAUUUGUGGGCGAUGAAUAGGGUCUUACAUGCAUGUUGAAGGGUGGGGGGGGAAAGCUCUUAACUCAGGCAAUGUGGCAAGUUCAGGUUGUGAAUUAACCUGGUCGACUCACCACCUGUGUUCAGGUAGUGAAUUAACCUGGUCGACUCACCACCUGUGUUCAGGUUGGGAAUAUUAACCUAGUCGACUCACCACCUGUGUUCAGGUAGUGAAUUAACCUGGUCGACUCACCACCUGUGUUCAGGUUGGGAAUAUUAACCUGGUCGACUCACCACCUGUGUUCAGGUUGGGAAUAUUAACCUGGUCGACUCACCACCUGUGUUCAGGUAGUGAAUUAACCUGGUCGACUCACCACCUGUGUUCAGGUUGGGAAUAUUAACCUGGUCGACUCACCACCUGUGUUCAGGUUGGGAAUAUUAACCUGGUCGACUCACCACCUGUGUUCAGGUAGUGAAUUGGCCUGGUCGACUCACCACCUGUCUUCAGGUAGUGAAUUGGCCUGGUCGACUCACCACCUGUGUUCAGGUAGUGAAUUAACCUGGUCGACUCACCACCUGUGUUCAGGUUGGGAAUAUUAACCUGGUCGACUCACCACCUGUGUUCAGGUAGUGAAUUGGCCUGGUCGACUCACCACCUGUCUUCAGGUAGUGAAUUGGCCUGGUCGACUCACCACCUGUCUUCAGGUAGUGAAUUGGCCUGGUCGACUCACCACCUGUGUUCAGGUAGUGAAUUGGCCUGGUCGACUCACCACCUGUGUUCAGGUAGUGAAUUGGCCUGGUCGACUCACCACCUGUGUUCAGGGUAAUGAUCUUGUGCUUGACAACAUUGCUUGAUUCAUUUUGUGGUUCGACAUCAGUCUCUCCUGAUUGGAGGAGGCAGCAGCGAGCGGUUUUAGUCUGUAGCCAGGCGACUGGCGGCAGGAGCAUUAGGGGAUCGUCCUGAGGCGUCUUAUCGAUUUUUGGUGGGGUUGUUGUGUUUGCUCCCUAAAUAGCACCCUAAUUCCCUAUAUAGUACACUACUUUUAGACCAGGACCCUAUGGGCCGUGGCCUAACACCUGUGCACUAUAUAUAGGGGGGGAUAGGGUUCUGUUUGAGAGGAAACCUUGGAUAGAAAUGUUACAUUCCAUAAACUGUCACUAGACUGCACCAGCUUCUUAUUCUUCAGUUUGACUGACCUGCUAACGUCAUUUGUAUUUCUGUGUCAAUUAGGAGGUAUGGGGGGGGGGGGGGGAGUCUAGAACAAAGGACACUCCUAAUACUUGGACUGUUUUAAACCAGCAGAGCAGGAAGAAUUUCCCCAUGUACUUAUCUAGUUUUUUGGCUUUUUCUCUCUUCCAGUUAAAAGGUUUUUUUAUUUUCAUUUAAUGUUUUAUUUUGAUACUUGUGGUUAAGAACUAGUUAACGGGGAGAAAGGGGAGGUGGUUGGUUUUGGGCUGGCUGUCUGGCUGGCUGGCUGUCUGUCUGGCUGUCUGGCUGGCUGUCUGUCUGUCUUUGUCCAUGUCCUUUUUGGAAUUUUCAUACAAAACACCCAAGCAUAACUGUUUAUCUGGAGGGAAAUGUUAUUUCAUGUAUGUGGAAUUAAAAAGAUAAUUUAAAAGU